GAUGAACGCUGGCGGCGUGCCUAAUACAUGCAAGUCGAGCGACCGGACGAGAAGCUUGCUUCUCUGCUGUUAGCGGCGGACGGGUGAGUAACACGUGGAUAACCUACCUAUAAGACUGAGAUAACUUCGGGAAACCGGAGCUAAUACCGGAUGAUAUUUUGAACCGCAUGGUUCAAAAGUGAAAGACGGUCUUGCUGUCACUUAUAUAUGGAUCCGCGCUGCAUUAGCUAGUUGGUAAGGUAACGGCUUACCAAGGCAACGAUGCAUAGCCGACCUGAGAGGGUGAUCGGCCACACUGGAACUGAGACACGGUCCAGACUCCUACGGGAGGCAGCAGUAGGGAAUCUUGCGCAAUGGGCGAAAGCCUGACGGAGCAACGCCGAGUGAGUGAUGAAGGUCUUCGGAUCGUAAAACUCUGUUAUUAGGGAAGAACAUAUGUGUAAGUAACUGUGCACAUCUUGACGGUACCUAAUCAGAAAGCCACGGCUAACUACGUG
rnacentral:rRNA from 1 species